GUUGCCAACAAACACACGGGUCAGGCCACAAGAGCUAAUCUUCUUACUAAUCACAAGGUUUGACCGUUAAACAGAACAAAGUUCACGCUGACAACAGUGGGAGAGCGGCAGAGCGUCGAGAACGGUAGCAGAUAGGAUCAAAAAGAGAGAGAACAGGGAAAAAGACGAGAUCUCAGAGCAAGAAUGCCCUUUUCUCCUUAUUUUUUUGGAAACUUGCCGUCAUGGUUAGACUUUAAAGGUUUCUUUGUGGGCUAACUAUUUACACCAGGAAGGACAGCAUACACAUCGACACGAUGAUGGAUCCUGAAAACUAACAGGCAUGGAGGUCCUGAGUGGCCCCUGGGCUGAUCUGGCCCUCUUCCUGCGACAAACUGUCACACUCACAAACAGAGACAGCUUUCUUCCUCUCUGGCUCUUUGGAUUGCUGCUAUUCCUGUCAGUCUGUCUCCUGCUGCUGCAACUAAUUAUCUACUUCAGCUGGAAACUCAGACAAGCUGAGGCGGAUCUGUCCAGGUUGGAGCAGGACCAAAGUGCCUUCCAGAGGCAGAGGCACAGAAGUGCAGAUCUGACGAGGAGAAGUGUCGGACCACGUUCAUAUACCUAACGAGAAUCAUAAAAACCGAAGGACACAUUUAAACUUCUCUACACUGGUAUAACUUGUACUUUUAUGAACACUGGAAAGAUCUUCAAAUGUGAAAGAACUCCUCUGAUGGUACCACAUAAAAUCCUCAGAGCAACCCAGCAUCAUCCAUCAAGGAUAUGCUUGUUUAAAAUGAAAAUCUAACAUCUCAUAUGUGAAAAAACACAUAAGCCUACUGCAAAAUUAAAUAUCUUUUGUAUUUUACUGUUUGAUUUUAACUGGGUAGGUUACACUGUUCUCAACUUGUGCAGAUCGGCUUACUGCGUUAACUCUUAGUAUCAAUAAAAUAAGUGCAUGAAAAAAAAAGGAGGCGACUGGAAAUGUUUCAGAGUAUAACAAUUGUUUAUUUGAACAGUGUUACAAAGGGGGCAAGGAGUGGCUGCGUGUGGGGAGACACAACACAAUUAUGCAUCUAGACAAAAGAAUCUACCAGUGAUGUGUUGUCAACAGGAGGCAAAGAGGUGGCUGGUUAAUUUCUCCAAAAUGUGCUUUCUUUAUAAAAAGUGUUUUGGACAGAAUAUUUGUCUUGUUGGAUGAAAUACAAAAAUUGUGCUGUUACUGUCAAAAAUGAAGAAUAAAGCCUGAGAUCGAAGCAUUAAGAAUAUACUUUUCCUCCAACAACAAUUUGAUUAUAAAACAUUGCUUCGUUAAUGAGCUUUCAGUUUAAUGUUAAAAACUCCUGACAAAUUUAAAAUCAGCUGUCGCCAGCUUUUGGAGAUCAAAGCGUAAGUUAUAAUCGCCAUUUAAAAUUUUGUGUCAUUAAAAGCUACAAACAUUUUGGAAAAGUCAACCUCGCGGCCCCAAAGCUCCUGUGAUUGGUUCGAGAGAGCCCAGAACCCCCAAGCAGAGAAAAAGCUGGCCAGAAACGUUCAUCUGUAGUGGUUUUUCUUCAUUAACAAAAUACACAGUGGCAAUAUUACAAAUAAGCAGGAAGGUGGAGCAACACACCCCACCCUCCAACUUCUAGACCAGUUUCACAGAGAAAACAGAGACUGAGAGGCUCCACAGAUACAGCUGACGUGGCAUUGCAGAUUCUUUUAAAUGGGAUUUUCCUAUCUGGAACAGCGGUGGCUUCCAAAGCUGCCUAGAGAUGGAAAAGUAAGAUUUUUCUCUCCUUCUGUUUCGCAAGAGGAUAAGAAGUUAAAGCUUCCUCCUCCUCGGUGGAAUGUCAUUUAGCUGCAUAGUAGAAGUAAGACCUGUGUUUAGAAAGCUUUCUCUUUGCAGUCCACUGGACAUGUUUCCAGACUGGAUGUUUAUAAAAACGUAUCACUUUAAAUAAACGUAAUAA